rnacentral:lncRNA from 1 species
UGUCUUCUCUCUCUCUUUUUGUCUUUAGAAAGCUCUUCUCUCCAAUUUCUAUAUCUACAUUCUCUCUAGAUCUCUUUAUAUAUAUGGUUUCUCUCUCCUACUAGGGUUUUCUAGAUUUAGAGAAAGACCUUCUUUUGAUAACUUUGAUCAAUCGUUGUGAAAGGAUCCUGAACCAUGAUCAUGAGAUAAUGUGCUGACCCACACCCAAGCC